AAACUUUCAACAACGGAUCUCUUGGUUCUCGCAUCGAUGAAGAACGCAGCGAAAUGCGAUAAGUAAUGUGAAUUGCAGAAUUCAGUGAAUCAUCGAAUCUUUGAACGCACCUUGCACCUUUUGGUAUUCCGAAAGGUACAUCUGUUUGAGUGUCUUGA
rnacentral:rRNA from 1 species